GCCGGGUGUGGUGGCUCACGCCUGUAAUCCCAGCAGCUCGCCUGUAAUCCCAGCAGCUCGGGAGGCUGAGACUGGAGGAUUGCGAGUUCAAAGCCACCUCAGCAAAAUAAGCGAGGUGCUAAGCAGCUCAGUGAGACCCUGUCUCAA
rnacentral:SRP_RNA from 1 species